rnacentral:rRNA from 1 species
AGCAGUAGCCGCGGGAAUACGUAGGUGGCAAGCGUUGUCCGGAAUUAUUGGGCGUAAAGCGCGCGCAGGCGGAUCAGUUAGUCUGUCUUAAAAGUUCGGGGCUUAACCCCGUGAGGGGAUGGAAACUGCUGAUCUAGAGUAUCGGAGAGGAAAGUGGAAUUCCUAGUGUAGCGGUGAAAUGCGUAGAUAUUAGGAAGAACACCAGUGGCGAAGGCGACUUUCUGGGCGAAAACUGACGCUGGGGCGCGAAAGCCAGGGGAGCGAACGGGAUUAGAGACCCCCGUAGUCCCUGUCUCUUAUACA